UACGUAGGGGGCAAGCGUUGUCCGGAUUUAUUGGGCGUAAAGCGCUCGCAGGUGGUUCGAUGCGUCGUGCGUGAAAGCGCCCGGCUCAACUGGGCGAGGUCCGUGGAAACUGGUCAGCUGGAGGACGGUAGAGGCGAGUGGAAUUCCCGGUGUAGUGGUGAAAUGCGUAGAGAUCGGGAGGAACACCUGUGGCGAAGGCGGCUCGCUGGGCCGGUCCUGACGCUGAGACGCGAAGGCGUGGGGAGCGAACGGG
rnacentral:rRNA from 1 species